CAAAAAACCUACACCAAAACAAAAAGUAAUUAACACCAAAAAACCUACACGAAAAAAUAGAGUAAUUAACAAAGUAGCAGUAAAAAAAACAGACGCAACAAUUAAAAACGAUAAAUCAACACCAAAAGUUGAUAAAAGUAAUGAAGGAGGUGAUAAUAUCUUGGGGCUUGUCUUAGGUGGUAUAGGUGUACCUGUCGCAAUAGUUGGCAUACUUGCUGCUGUCGUGAAAUUUAAAAAGAUGCAAGAAGAAGGUGAAAAGAAAGGAAAGAAGGGAAAAAAGGGAAAGAAAGGAAAGAACGUAAAGAAAGUAAAGAAAAGAAAGAAAUCAAAAAAGACUAACGAUGACGAUGAUGACGACGAUGAUGACGAUGAUUGAAUGGA